UCCCCCGCGGGAAGAUGGCGAGGGAGCGCGGCUUCACCUCCUGCCUCGCAUGGCAGGGGCCCGUCGCGGGAGGGGGAGAGCCACCGCGGGCGGUAGCAGCACGUUAUCCUUAGGGAUCGCUCUGUGGAGCCGUGAGCACCGGGGCUGCCCACAGGGCCCGGCCACCGGCCUCGCCGCGGCCGCUGCUGCCCGGCCGGGCAAGGGGCUGAGGCGCUGGGCACCGGCCACGGGAAAACCUGCCUCGGCUGGUCUUCGUCUGUGCGGCGCUACCGUUGUCUGCUGAAUGCCCCUUCCAGGAGCCAGUGUGUGGUAACAAAUAGCUUUCCAGAACAAUCCUUUACUAAUCCGAUAGAGAGGACAGGGUGCUUUGCUUUGGCCAAGACCCGCGACAGCAUUGCCAACUCUGAAGCAUGUUAUUCCACCAAGAAACAUGCUACUUGACUGAAAUUCCACGGGAGAUUUUAGACAAUCCAAGAGUCCUUAACUGCGACUGGAUCAUGGCCAAGAAUUGAUGGUAGGAUUCUUGUGCUUGCAGAUUAUGAGAUGUAGCCGAGCUCAGCUUCACAUCUCACCUCCAGCCACCACAUUGAGAACUUGAGUGGCUACAGACUGACCUGCCAAGAGGGCAAGGUCUGCAGAACAUCACACUGGCUAAAGAGGUUUGAACAGGACGGGAUGGAGGAGAGCGUAAGAUUAUCAGCACCUUGAGAAGUUACUUGUCCCUGGUCCCUCAGAACACAGGAUGCUCAGAUCUUCCCAGUUGAAGAAUGGACUCUAGUAAAACUAUUCCACACUUCAGCCUUUUGGGCUUAGGGUUACAGUGACAACAAAUGUUUGUGCAGGUAGUCAAGAUGCUCCUGGAAUACAAGUCCGUGUGGAAGAAGCAUGCUCCAUCAUGAGUGGUUGUUCAGAGUCAACUCAGACCAGUGCAGUUCUCGUCCAAAACUGCCUCCUGCCUCACAUGUGGGGCUGACUUCACAGGCAUUUCCAAGGAAUGAUAUUCCCAGGAUAUUGACACACUGUACUUAUAAAGUGCUGCAGUGAGGGAACUCUCCUAACGUAUCAGACCAGGGAGGAGCUUUUUUUCUUUUUUUUUUUUUUUUAGGAGAACAAUAAUAAUAAUAAAAAAAACAGUCUAUAAUGUAAUAGUUGUUUCCAUCAGAUGCCUUGAUUGAGGUUAAUUUACUUACGAAAGAAGACAGAUCAGUUAUAUUCCAUAUAUCAUUCUUUUCCUCUUGCUGCACUUUAAACAAAGUCAAAACAAAAAACCUCGCAGAACCUCCACAAAUUCCUUGCUGCUAACUUCUCUCAUUACUAAUCUGUGGCUUCAAAAUAUACAAACUAAUUGGCUGUCAAUAGCACAGUGUCUCUGCACAUUCUAGAACAACAUUCCUUUACUACCAUUACUCUCCAUCCCUGUAAACUCUUGCUCUCAUGGGCAAAAGCCCUUGAAGAGCUGCUUAGAAAAUGUACCCCUGCCCUGUACUGAUCAGGGCAAAUUUACACCCUCCACUAAGACCCUUAGGAACAGCUGAUAUAUUUCAGUUCAGUUUACUUUCUAAAACAAUUUAAA